rnacentral:lncRNA from 10 species
AGCAAGUUGAUAUUUUGAAGCAGGUACUGUGCUGGGCACUGGGGCUGGGGGGUGAACAAGCACUUACAGUAUGGAGGAAGACAAACAAGAAGCAAUGAACCAUACAAAAUGGGCGGUAUUAUGAUGACCAAAGGUACUAAGCCCUGAGUGAGGAGAGAAGAGGGAGGCCACCUAACCUAAACAAUGAGGGGUAUCCGUACAGAUGGAAGAAAAUCUCAUCCAUGAAGAAGCCUGAAGAAUGAGUUAGGAUGGGAAGAGGUUGAGGGUGGAAAAAAGGCGAAUAUUUCAGGCUGAAGUUUUAUAAAUCAAACCUUGUCACUCUGCUUAAAGUCCCAUAAUGACUGCCCACCUAUGAGCCUGCAGGUCAGAGCGGGGCCCUGGGUGGCAUCAGGGGUUCUUCUCCCUGCUCACCUUCCAGGUUUGCAUAGGGACUGGAGCGCAGGUCAGCCCGCCUUCUCUCCCUGCCUCCAUCCUGCCUAGCCCUCGGCUAACUUUGAGGCUUUGUAUGCCAGUCCAAAGCCACCUCAAAUGGUGGAACUGGUGCCAGGCACUGGGACACCUACGUUCCUUACCCUGGCCUUCAACUCUGAUGUGUUGAUGAGUCUGACUUGGGGUUGUUUUUCUUUCUACUCCGGGAUUUUCAUGGCUGGUAGCCAUAUCUUAGGAAUCCUUAUGACUUGCUAAAGCUAGUUUCUCUUCUUAAAAAGAAAAAGCAUAUUCAUGAUGGGUUCACCAUUGAGGAAAAAAAAAAGCCUCAGCUAUACAGUAGCAGAAGUUGUUUUUGGUUCAUACCUAUGAUAUGAGGAGACACUUUAUCUAGCAUCACCCAUCUAUAAAGUAAUGAAUUUUCCCCCUACAGCUUUGCACAAAUAUAUAGAUAAAAUUCUAUACAUGCUAUUUCCCUCCAAGAGCUGAUAUUCUUGUUUUCUUAUCCUUUUUCCCCCUUCGUUCCUCUUUUCACUGAACAUCUUCCUUGACACUCAACACAGGAUCACACAUCUUAAAGUAAACGCUGUUAACAAUGUAGUAUAAAUCCUUCCUUAUUUGUCCAGACUCUUUGAUACUAUCUAGAUGGAAAUACAAACAUACAUAAUAUUCACACAUGUAAAUGCAAAUAUAGGACUUUCAUUGUUGUCUGUAUUUUGUUUUUCCCACUCUAAACUUUGCCCAGCUGUUUCAGAGUCAACAGGUAUAGAUUUAACUCAUUUUUCAGUGGUUAAAUAUUAUUUCUAUGUUAUGGAUACACCGUAAUUUAUACAUUCAAUUCUCUAUUCAUGAAAAUUAACUUUGUUUCCAGUUUUUGUCACUAAAGGCAAUUAACAAUAAACAUUCUCUACAUCCUGGUGUUUUCUUUCUAUGGGGGUAGAUUCAAAGUGGAAUUGCUGGGA